GACGAACGCUGGCGGCGUGCUUAACACAUGCAAGUCGAACGGAAAGGCCCUGCUUUUGUUGGGUGCUCGAGUGGCGAACGGGUGAGUAACACGUGAGUAACCUGCCCUUGACUUUGGGAUAACUUCAGGAAACUGGGGCUAAUACCGGAUAGGAGCUCCUGCUGCAUGGUGGGGGUUGGAAAGUUUCGGCGGUUGGGGAUGGGCUCGCGGCUUAUCAGCUUGUUUGGGGGGUAGGGGCUUACCAAGGCUUUGACGGGUAGCCGGCCUGAGAGGGGGACCGGCCACCAUGGGCCUGAGGGACGCACCAGACUCCUACGGGAGGCAGCAGGGGGGAAUAUUGCACAAUGGGCGGGAGCCUGAUGCGGCAACGCCGGGUGCGGGAUGACCGGCUUCGGGGUGUAAACCGCUUUCGCCUGUGCCGAAGCCGUAGUGACGGUAAUGGGUAAAGAAGCACCGGCUAACUACGUG
rnacentral:rRNA from 1 species